GAAAUGCGAUAAGUAAUGUGAAUUGCAGAAUUCAGUGAAUCAUCGAAUCUUUGAACGCACAUUGCGCCCCUUGGUAUUCCGAGGGGCAUGCCUGUUCGAGCGUCAUUACACCACUCAAGCUAUGCUUGGUAUUGGGUGCCGUCCUUAGUUGGGCGCGCCUUAAAGACCUCGGCGAGGCCUCACCGGCUUUAGGCGUAGUAGAAUUUAUUCGAACGUCUGUCAAAGGAGAGGACUUCUGCCGACUGAAACCUUUUAUUUUUCUAGGUUGACCUCGGAUCAGGUAGAGAUACCCGCUGAACUUAAGC
rnacentral:misc_RNA from 1 species